rnacentral:lncRNA from 1 species
AUAAUCUCAAUUUGGGGUUUUUAAUCAGUGAUUUUUUCUCUCAAUUUGUGCGUGGACAGCAAUGUUCUGUACUUCUGUAUCUCGUACGAUCCCAAGCGCUCGAUUCAAUUGGUCAGAUAAAAAUCAUAGCCUCAUUUCAGUCAUUAUUCUCUAUUAUAAAUACUGAAGACGACUAGAGAAAAUUAUAACACACAUCUCUUCUACUUGAACACAUUUGCGCUAGUUACUGCAACCCACAAGCCAAACCUCUCUCAACCAUGGGCAAGGAAAGGACUACCGUCAACAUCACCCUCAUCGGACACAUUGCUUGAACUAAUUCAAACAUCAACAUGGACUUCCCGAUAAAAUGAUUAUGAUGACGGAUUGAUUCUCUACGAUUUGAUUUAUAAAAUGAGUACCAAAAAAAUACAUUCACAGAUUCACACAUGUAGCUACAUUCAAACACAAACACAUCAUCACUAAAAAUGUUUGGCAAUAAAGUUUCAGUUUUCUAAAUUCCAA